rnacentral:lncRNA from 1 species
GCCGGGUCCUCCUCCGGCCGCUCCGAAGCCCCCUCCCUCCACCGCUCCUGCCCCGCGCGCCCUGCGCUCGGCAACAUCUUCUCGACCGGCCGCGGGGCCCCGCGUCCCCCUGUCUCUCCGGGCUCCGCCGCGCCCCUUCCCCCAGCGGCCACCUCCGGGCUCCUCUGCCUCCAGGCUUGCCGCCCCCCCUCCGCCACCCCUUACCUUCUUCUUUCGGUCACGGGAGCGGUUCCUCCGCUUCCUGUUGGAUUCCUCCUUCUCCUUCUGCUCCUGGAGGGCCUGCGCCUCGAUGUCUUUGAUUUUCUUCAGCUGUUUGGCCGCUUGAGCCAUGGCCGGUCACCGUGCUCCGCCCAGACCUCUCCUCCGAAUGCCAGGCCCACGCACUGGUGCCCACCCCUGUCCUCCUUCCAUCAUCCCUGCAUCCCCUCGGUCACCCACAACCCAUCCCGAACACUGCAGUCACACGAAUCUUCUGAAAACACCAAUCUGAUGGUUGUCACGUCUCAGCUCAGCAUCCUUCUUUUGCUCUGGGUAUGAAGACAAUCUUUGAUGAGGCUCUGAAGGAUCAGACGCUUCCUCCCACCGACUGGUCUUUCCUCAGACUGGCUCUAGUACCCCGGGCUCCAGCCUCCGCAGCCUUUGAAGGGGCAGUGCUGUCCCUCUGCAGGGACUUGGACCUCACUGCCCUCUGCUCGGACUGCUCUGCCUGACUGCCCACCCCACCCCACCAUCCCCAGGCUGCCUAAGUCCAGCCCAUCAUCAGACAUCACAGUGGUCUUCACUUCUUCAAGGAAGCUCUUCUGGAGGCCUGCCGACUCUUGCCUUCCCCACUGUGCCUCCUGCAUAGGACCUGCUGUGGUACAACUGCACACGUGUGUGACUGUCUCCACCGACGCCCAUCUUCCCCACUAGAUGUUAAGGUCCAUGAGGGAAGGAACGCUGGUUUUGCCCACCCUCGUAUCAUCAGCACCUUGCAGGCCAGGCACACCGUAGCGACUCAAUAAAUGUGUGUUGAAGAAAUCA